rnacentral:rRNA from 1 species
GCCGGCGACCGGCGCACGGGUGAGUAACGCGUAUGCAACUUACCUAUCAGAGGGGGAUAACCCGGCGAAAGUCGGACUAAUACCGCAUGAAGCAGGGGCCCCGCAUGGGGAUAUUUGCUAAAGAUUCAUCGCUGAUAGAUAGGCAUGCGUUCCAUUAGGCAGUUGGCGGGGUAACGGCCCACCAAACCGACGAUGGAUAGGGGUUCUGAGAGGAAGGUCCCCCACAUUGGUACCGAGACACGGACCAAACUCCUACGGGAGGCAGCAUG